GCACCCGUAGCUCAGCAGGAUAGAGCAACGGAUUUCUAAUCCGUAGGUCGCACGUUCGAGUCGUGCCGGGUGUG
rnacentral:tRNA from 1 species